rnacentral:lncRNA from 1 species
CUGAAUCUGAUUUCAUUGUAUUUCUAGGGUGAUAAAAGAAAAUGUGGCUGAAGUUACCCGAAGUUCAGCUUGCAGUGUAAUUCAGAAGAGUUAAGACCAGAAGUACUGGAAUCAUACUUCCUUUCAGGUCAAAACAUUUUGUGGGAAAUAUCCUGUUCGUGACCUAGGAGAAACAAGACAGAAAACAAAUCUUUCUUCAUUUAUGAAUUUCUUACUCCAUACAAGCAGUUUAUGGAUGUCUGGGCAAUCAUAGCACUUGCCAUUUAAAAACAUGCUACAGGGGCACAUUUUCUGUGGUUAAAAAUGAUCUCCAGAAUAAGUGUAAACUGCAGUUUUCCUUUGCAUUGAGGGUUUUGGCUUUUUAUUUGUAAAUUAAAUCAAGAUGUUACCCACUCCUUGGUGUGGUGGUCUUGCUGGUUCGUGUUGGGAAGUAGUAUGGCAGCAAUGCACAAAUUCAGAAUAGCCAAGAAAUCCCUCCUUUUCAACGCUCUGUGCCUGGGAACCAUUAGAGGAGUUUUAAAAACCAUCCCUCAUAGCCCACAAUUUUGGGUCAACUCUCAAAAUUGGGAAUAAGAAAACUGGCACUGUUGGGAGAAAAAUCGUUCUUACUGAAACAUGAACUGGCUCAGGCAAGCAAAUAGCGGGAGUCGGCACAGGAAGGAGUGUGUGCUGCGGGGAUGCGUGGUGGCGUCACCUUCAAAACUAAAGUGGUGCCAGGCGGACAGAUGAGUCCUUGAUCUUGUUUCCUGAUCUUGUUUCCAUUUGACUGAAUUCUGAACCUUCAUUGUCUUCACAGUCUUGCCACUUGCCUAGUGAGGCUUUUCCGAACCUGGAAGGAGACGUCUAGAAAUCCCAACUUUGCUGUGUAAGGACCAUUAGCUGCAAGUCAGUGGAAGUCUAUAGAAAGCAGUGUGAAUUCCAUAGUGGUCUUGACUUCUUAGCAAGGAUUUGGGAUAAGUCUAAAACUUCAGACUUAAAGCUUUGAAGCAUGUUAACUGCAUGAAAUAUUAAACAUUUCG